UAUUUCCUACGGGGCGCAGCAGUGGGGAAUAUUGCACAAUGGGGGAAACCCUGAUGCAGCGACGCCGCGUGAGUGAAGAAGUAUCUCGGUACGUAAAGCUCUAUCAGCAGGGAAGAAAAUGACGGUACCUGACCAAGAAGCCCCGGCUAACUACGUGCCAGCAGCCGCGGUAAUACGUAGGUGGCGAGCGUUAUCCGGAAUGAUUGGGCGUAAAGGGUGCGUAGGCGGCCUGCUAAGUCUGGAGUGAAAGGUACCGGCUCAACCGGUACAGGCUCUGGAAACUGGCGGGCUAGAGAGCAGGAGAG
rnacentral:rRNA from 1 species